CAUUAUUGAAUAAACACUUGAUGGGUUGUCGCUGGUCUUUCGGGACAUGUGCACGCCUGUCUUGACUUCUAUUCAUCCACCUGUGAACCUUUUGUAGUCUUGAACUUUUUAAGGGAUUGUCGAGGAAGCGGCUGCUCGGUCUCUACCAAGAUCGGACUUGAGGAUUGCUUUAGAGCUUUCUUCUGUUGAAGUCGUGAAAUCGUGCCUUUGAGAAGUUUUGAGGCUAUGUCUUAUAUCAUAAACCAUGUAGUAUGUUGCCAGAAUGUAUUCAAUGGGCCUUUGUGCCUAUAAAACCUUAUACAACUUUCAGCAACGGAUCUCUUGGCUCUCGCAUCGAUGAAGAACGCAGCGAAAUGCGAUAAGUAAUGUGAAUUGCAGAAUUCAGUGAAUCAUCGAAUCUUUGAACGCACCUUGCGCUCCUUGGAAUUCCGAGGAGCAUGCCUGUUUGAGUGUCAGUAAAUUCUCAACUCCUUCAGCUUUUUGUAGUUGAAGUGAGCUUGGAUAUGGAGGUUUUGCGGGUUCAAUCUAAUUGGAUCGGCUCCUCUGAAAUGCAUUAGCGGAACCGUUUGCGAUCCGUCACAGGUGUGAUAAUUAUCUACGCCUAGUGGGUUGCUCUCUGUCUUGUUCAGCUUCCAACCGUCCCAGUCAUGGGACAACAUCAUUACUGAACUUUUGACCUCAAAUCAGGUAGGACUACCCGCUGAACUUAA
rnacentral:rRNA from 1 species